UUGGCGGACGGGUGAGUAACGCGUGGAUAACCUGCCGUAUACAGGGGGAUAACACCUGGAAACAGGUGCUAAUACCGCAUAAGCGCACGGUCCCGCAUGGGACAGUGUGAAAAGCUCCGGCGGUAUACGAUGGAUCCGCGUCUGAUUAGCCAGUUGGCGGGGUAACGGCCCACCAAGGCGACGAUCAGUAGCCGGCCUGAGAGGGCGGACGGCCACAUUGGGACUGAGACACGGCCCAGACUCCUACGGGAGGCAGCAG
rnacentral:rRNA from 1 species